CAGCCGCCACGGUAAUACAGAGGGUGCGAGCGUUAAUCGGAUUUACUGGGCUUAAAGCGUGCGUAGGCGGCUUCUUAAGUCGGAUGUGAAAUCCCUGAGCUUAACUUAGGAAUUGCAUUCGAUACUGGGAAGCUAGAGUAUGGGAGAGGAUGGUAGAAUUCCAGGUGUAGCGGUGAAAUGCGUAGAGAUCUGGAGGAAUACCGAUGGCGAAGGCGGCCCCCUGGACAAAGACUGACGCUCAGGUGCGAAAGCGUGGGGAGCAAACAGGAUUAGAGACCCCCGUAGUCCCUGUCUCUUAUAC
rnacentral:rRNA from 1 species